rnacentral:rRNA from 1 species
UACGGAGGAUCCAAGCGUUAUCCGGAUUUAUUGGGUUUAAAGGGUGCGUAGGCGGCUUUUUAAGUCAGUGGUGAAAUCCCGAGGCUCAACCUCGGAACUGCCAUUGAUACUAUUAGUCUUGAAUGUUGUGGAGGUGGGCGGAACGGGUCAUGUAGCGGUGAAAUGCAUAGAUAUGACCCGGAACACCGAUUGCGAAGGCAGCCCGCUACGCAACGAUUGACGCUGAGGCACGAAAGCGUGGGGAUCAAACAGG